GACGAACGCUGGCGGCGUGCCUAAUACAUGCAAGUCGAGCGGACCACUUCGGUGGUCAGCGGCGGACGGGUGAGUAACACGUGGGCCACCUGCCUGUAAGACUGGGAUAACUCCGGGAAACCGGGGCUAAUACCGGAUAAUCCUUCGGACCUCAUGGUCCAACGCUGACAGACGGUUUUUGCUGUGACUUACAGAAGGGCCCGCGGCGCAUUAGCUAGUUGGUGAGGUAACGGCGCACCAAGGCGACGAUGCGUAGCCGACCUGAGAGGGGGAUCGGCCACACUGGGACUGAGACACGGCCCAGACUCCUACGGGAGGCAGCAGUAGGGAAUCUUCCGCAAUGGACGAAAGUCUGACGGAGCAACGCCGCGUGAGCGAAGAAGGUUUUCGGAUCGUAAAGCUCUGUUGUCAGGGAAGAACAAGUGCGAGAGUAACUGCUCGCACCUUGACGGUACCUGACCAGAAAGCCACGGCUAACUACGUGCCAGCAGCCGCAGUAACAC
rnacentral:rRNA from 1 species